GAUGAAGAUAGGGGCAUCAGUCAAGGGUGGUGUUUAGGGUACAUUUCAUCCCUAUAAGAUAAUGCUUCAGCAGUAUUCUUAAGGGAACUUAACCUACAGGUGAUGUGAUGAAGAUAGGGGCAUCAGCUAAGGGUGGUGUUUAGGGUACAUUUCAUCCCUAUAAGAUAAUGCUUCAGCAGUAUUCUCAAGGGAACUUACAGGUGAUGUGAUGAAGAUAGGGGCAUCAGUCAAGGGUGGUGUUUAGGGUACAUUUCAUCCCUAUAAGAUAAUGCUUCAGCAGUAUUCUCAAGGGAACUUAACCUACAGGUGAUGUGAUGAAGAUAGGGGCAUCAGCUAAGGGUGGUGUUUAGGGUACAUUUCAUCCCUAUAAGAUAAUGCUUCAG